GACGAACGCUGGCGGCGUGCUUAACACAUGCAAGUCGAGCGGUAAGGCCCUUUCGGGGGUACGACGAGCGGCGAACGGGUGAGUAACACGUGGGUGACCUGCCCUCAGCUCUGGGAUAAGCCUGGGAAACCGGGUCUAAUACUGGAUAUGACUCCAUGACGCAUGUUGUGGGGUGGAAAGCCUUGUGCGGCUGAGGAUGGGCCCGCGGCCUAUCAGCUUGUUGGGG
rnacentral:rRNA from 1 species